rnacentral:rRNA from 1 species
UACGGAGGAUGCAAGCGUUAUCCGGAUUCAUUGGGUUUAAAGGGUGCGCAGGCGGAUUUGUUAAGUCAGUGGUGAAAUUUAACGGCUCAACUGUUAAGCUGCCAUUGAUACUGAUAGUCUAGAGUAUAGUUGGGGUGGGCGGAAUGUGUCAUGUAGCGGUGAAAUGCUUAGAUAUGACACAGAACACCGAUCGCGAAGGCAGCUCACCAAGCUAAAACUGACGCUCAUGCACGAAAGCGUGGGGA